AUACUUAGCUGGCAGGGGAGAUCAUGAAGGUGGUUUUCCCAGGGCAGGGUUUAUCCAUUGCACUCCGGAUGUGCUUAUCCCUGUGAUUUCCCCAAAUGUGGAAAACUUGACUGCGUAAUUUGUGGUAGUGGAGUACUGCAUUUGUGCUUUCCCCUG